UACAGAGGGUGCAAGCGUUGUUCGGAAUUACUGGGCGUAAAGCGCGUGUAGGCUGCUCAGAAAGUCGGAUGUGAAAGCCCCUGGGCUUAACCUAGGAAGUGCAUUCGAAACUUCUGAGCUUGAGUUCUGGAGAGGAAGGCGGAAUUCUCGGUGUAGAGGUGAAAUUCGUAGAUAUCGAGAGGAACACCGGUGGCGAAGGCGGCCUUCUGGACAGUGACUGACGCUGAGACGCGAAAGCGUGGGGAGCAAACAGG
rnacentral:rRNA from 1 species